rnacentral:rRNA from 1 species
AACAGGAUUAGAUACCCUGGUAGUCCACGCUGUAAACGAUGUCGACUUGGAGGUUGUGCCCUUGAGGCGUGGCUUCCGGAGCUAACGCGUUAAGUCGACCGCCUGGGGAGUACGGCCGCAAGGUUAAAACUCAAAUGAAUUGACGGGGGCCCGCACAAGCGGUGGAGCAUGUGGUUUAAUUCGAUGCAACGCGAAGAACCUUACCUACUCUUGACAUCCAGAGAAUUUGCUAGAGAUAGCUUAGUGCCUUCGGGAACUCUGAGACAGGUGCUGCAUGGCCGUCGUCAGCUCGUGUUGUGAAAUGUUGGGUUAAGCCCCGCAACGAGCGCAACCCUUAUCCUUUGUUGCCAGCACGUAAUGGUGGGAACUCAAAGGAGACUGCCGGUGAUAAACCGGAGGAAGGUGGGGAUGACGUCAAGUCAUCAUGGCCCUUACGAGUAGGGCUACACACGUGCUACAAUGGCAUAUACAAAGAGAAGCGAACUCGCGAGAGCAAGCGGACCUCAUAAAGUAUGUCGUAGUCCGGAUUGGAGUCUGCAACUCGACUCCAUGAAGUCGGAAUCGCUAGUAAUCGUAGAUCAGAAUGCUACGGUGAAUACGUUCCCGGGCCUUGUACACACCGCCCGUCACACCAUGGGAGUGGGUUACAAAAGAAGUAGGUAGCUUAACCUUCGGGAGGGCGCUUACCACUUUGUGAUUCAUGACUGGGGUGAAGUCGUAACAAGGUAACC